rnacentral:tRNA from 1 species
GCCUGGGUGGUUCAGUCGGUUGAGCGUCUGACUUCAGCUCAGCUCAUGACCUCACAGCUGGUGGGUUCGAGCCCCGUGUCGGGCU